rnacentral:rRNA from 1 species
GAGUAAUAUCUGGGAAUCUACCCAAAAGAGGGGGAUAACUACUAGAAAUGGUAGCUAAUACCGCAUAAAGUUGAGAAACCAAAGUGGGGGACCUUUUAGGCCUCAUGCUUUUGGAUGAGCCCAGACGAGAUUAGCUUGUUGGUAAGGUAAAAGCUUACCAAGGCUUCGAUCUCUAGCUGGUCUGAGAGGAUAACCAGCCACACUGGAACUGAGACACGGUCCAGACUCCUACGGGAGGCAGCAGUGGGGAAUAUUGCACAAUGGGCGAAAGCCUGAUGCAGCUAUGCCGCGUGUAUGAAGAAGGCCUUAGGGUUGUAAAGUACUUUCAGCGGGGAGG